rnacentral:rRNA from 1 species
CAGCACCCCGAGUGGUCGGGACGAGUAUUGGGCCUAAAGCAUCCGUAGCCGGUUCUGCAAGUCUCCCGUUAAAUCCAACUGCUCAACAGGUGGGCUGCGGAGGAUACUACAGAGCUAGGAGGCAGGAGAGGCAAGCGGUACUCAGUGGGUAGGGGUAAAAUCCGUUGAUCCAUUGGAGACCACCAGUGGCAAAGGCGGCUUGCCAGAAUGCGCUCGACGGUGAGGGAUGAAAGCUGGGGGAGCAAACCGGAUUAGAGACCCGAGUAGUCC